UAGGUAUUUUACAAGGAGCCGGCCUUAAC
rnacentral:piRNA from 1 species